rnacentral:rRNA from 1 species
UACAGAGGUCCCAAGCGUUGUUCGGAUUCACUGGGCGUAAAGGGUGCGUAGGUGGUGAGGUAAGUCGGAUGUGAAAGCUCCGAGCUCAACUCGGAAAUGGCAUUGGAAACUACCUUGCUCGAGGGUUUGAGGGGGGACUGGAAUACUUGGUGUAGCAGUGAAAUGCGUAGAUAUCAAGAGGAACACCUGAGGUGAAGACGGGUUGCUGGGCUGAUACUGACGCUGAAGCGCGAAAGCUAGGGUAGCAAACGGG